rnacentral:rRNA from 1 species
GACGAACGCUGGCGGCGUGCUUAACACAUGCAAGUCGAACGGAAAGGCCCUGCUUUUGUGGGGUGCUCGAGUGGCGAACGGGUGAGUAACACGUGAGUAACCUGCCCUUGACUUUGGGAUAACUUCAGGAAACUGGGGCUAAUACCGGAUAGGAGCUCCUGCUGCAUGGUGGGGGUUGGAAAGUUUCGGCGGUUGGGGAUGGACUCGCGGCUUAUCAGCUUGUUGGUGGGGUAGUGGCUUACCAAGGCUUUGACGGGUAGCCGGCCUGGGAGGGUGACCGGACACAUUGGGACGGAGAUACGGCCCAGACUCCUACGGGAGGCAGAAGUGGGGAAUAUUGCACAAUGGGCGGAAGCCUGAUGCAGCAACGCCGCGUGCGGGAUGACGGCCUUCGGGUUGUAAACCGCUGUCGCCUGUGACGAAGCGUGAGUGACGGUAAUGGGUAAAGAAGCACCGGCUAACUACGUG